GUUAAGCGACUAAGCGUACACGGUGGAUGCCCUGGCAGUCAGAGGCGAUGAAGGACGUGCUAAUCUGCGAUAAGCGUCGGUAAGGUGAUAUGAACCGUUAUAACCGGCGAUUUCCGAAUGGGGAAACCCAGUGUGUUUCGACACACUAUCAUUAACUGAAUCCAUAGGUUAAUGAGGCGAACCGGGGGAACUGAAACAUCUAAGUACCCCGAGGAAAAGAAAUCAACCGAGAUUCCCCCAGUAGCGGCGAGCGAACGGGGAGCAGCCCAGAGCCUGAAUCAGUGUGUGUGUUAGUGGAAGCGUCUGGAAAGGCGCGCGAUACAGGGUGACAGCCCCGUACACAAAAAUGCACAUGCUGUGAGCUCGAUGAGUAGGGCGGGACACGUGGUAUCCUGUCUGAAUAUGGGGGGACCAUCCUCCAAGGCUAAAUACUCCUGACUGACCGAUAGUGAACCAGUACCGUGAGGGAAAGGCGAAAAGAACCCCGGCGAGGGGAGUGAAAAAGAACCUGAAACCGUGUACGUACAAGCAGUGGGAGCACAGAGCAAUCUGUGUGACUGCGUACCUUUUGUAUAAUGGGUCAGCGACUUAUAUUCUGUAGCAAGGUUAACCGAAUAGGGGAGCCGAAGGGAAACCGAGUCUUAACUGGGCGUUAAGUUGCAGGGUAUAGACCCGAAACCCGGUGAUCUAGCCAUGGGCAGGUUGAAGGUUGGGUAACACUAACUGGAGGACCGAACCGACUAAUGUUGAAAAAUUAGCGGAUGACUUGUGGCUGGGGGUGAAAGGCCAAUCAAACCGGGAGAUAGCUGGUUCUCCCCGAAAGCUAUUUAGGUAGCGCCUCGUGAAUUCAUCUCCGGGGGUAGAGCACUGUUUCGGCAAGGGGGUCAUCCCGACUUACCAACCCGAUGCAAACUGCGAAUACCGGAGAAUGUUAUCACGGGAGACACACGGCGGGUGCUAACGUCCGUCGUGAAGAGGGAAACAACCCAGACCGCCAGCUAAGGUCCCAAAGUCAUGGUUAAGUGGGAAACGAUGUGGGAAGGCCCAGACAGCCAGGAUGUUGGCUUAGAAGCAGCCAUCAUUUAAAGAAAGCGUAAUAGCUCACUGGUCGAGUCGGCCUGCGCGGAAGAUGUAACGGGGCUAAACCAUGCACCGAAGCUGCGGCAGCGACGCUUAUGCGUUGUUGGGUA
rnacentral:rRNA from 1 species